rnacentral:rRNA from 1 species
ACUUUACAAUGCGAGAAAUCGUGAUAAGGGAACCUCGAGUGCCAGGUUACAAAUCUGGCUGUCGAGAUGCCUAAAAAGCAUUUCAUAGCAAGGGCCGGGCAAGACCGGUGCCAGCCGCCGCGGUAACACCGGCGGCUCGAGUGGUAACCGUUAUUAUUGGGUCUAAAGGGUCUGUAGCCGGCCGGAUAAGUCUCUUGAGAAAUCUGGCAGCUUAACUGUCAGGCUUUCAGGAGAUACUGUCUGGCUCGAGGCCGGGAGAGGUGAGAGGUACUUCAGGGGUAGGGGUGAAAUCUUGUAAUCCUUGAAGGACCACCAGUGGCGAAGGCGUCUCACCAGAACGGACCUGACGGCAAGGGACGAAAGCUAGGGGCACGAACCGG